UACGGAGGGUGCAAGCGUUAUCCGGAUUCACUGGGUUUAAAGGGUGCGUAGGUGGAAUGGUAAGUCAGUGGUGAAAUCUCCAAGCUUAACUUGGAAACUGCCGUUGAUACUAUCAUUCUUGAAUAUCGUGGAGGUGAGCGGAAUAUGUCAUGUAGCGGUGAAAUGCUUAGAUAUGACAUAGAACACCGAUUGCGAAGGCAGCUCACUACGCGAUUAUUGACACUGAGGCACGAAAGCGUGGGGAUCAAACAGG
rnacentral:rRNA from 1 species